CUUGUUGGUCGAAUUUGAACCAAGUGUAACAACAAAAAGAAAGAUUUUUGAAGAAUGAUAGAGGAAAAAAGUUAAACGAUCAUCUGAGGAUUUCAAUUUCACAGUUAGAAUUGAGAUUUUUGGGGAGAGAUUUUUGAAUUUUGCAAGAGGACGAUGGAGAGUAGGAUUGGAUGAGAAAUAGUUAGAUGAAUAAAAAUAACAGUGUAAAAAAAAAAAAGAUGAACAAUACAAUUAUUACACGGAAUCCAUUAUCCUUUUUUAGUGAAUAGUGCUGAACCGGUUCCAAACUAG
rnacentral:lncRNA from 1 species